GAACGGGGAGCAGCCCAGAGCCUGAAUCAGUGUGUGUGUUAGUGGAAGCGUCUGGAAAGGCGCGCGAUACAGGGUGACAGCCCCGUACACAAAAAUGCACAUGCUGUGAGCUCGAUGAGUAGGGCGGGACACGUGGUAUCCUGUCUGAAUAUGGGGGGACCAUCCUCCAAGGCUAAAUACUCCUGACUGACCGAUAGUGAACCAGUACCGUGAGGGAAAGGCGAAAAGAACCCCGGCGAGGGGAGUGAAAAAGAACCUGAAACCGUGUACGUACAAGCAGUGGGAGCACGCUUAGGCGUGUGACUGCGUACCUUUUGUAUAAUGGGUCAGCGACUUAUAUUCUGUAGCAAGGUUAACCGAAUAGGGGAGCCGAAGGGAAACCGAGUCUUAACUGGGCGUUAAGUUGCAGGGUAUAGACCCGAAACCCGGUGAUCUAGCCAUGGGCAGGUUGAAGGUUGGGUAACACUAACUGGAGGACCGAACCGACUAAUGUUGAAAAAUUAGCGGAUGACUUGUGGCUGGGGGUGAAAGGCCAAUCAAACCGGGAGAUAGCUGGUUCUCCCCGAAAGCUAUUUAGGUAGCGCCUCGUGAAUUCAUCUCCGGGGGUAGAGCACUGUUUCGGCAAGGGGGUCAUCCCGA
rnacentral:rRNA from 1 species